rnacentral:rRNA from 1 species
UGCCAGCCGCCGCGGUAAUACGGAGGGUCCAAGCGUUAUCCGGAUUUAUUGGGUUUAAAGGGUGCGCAGGCGGAACUUUAAGUCAGUGGUGAAAUCUUGCCGCUUAACGGUAAAAUUGCCAUUGAUACUGAAGUUCUUGAAUGUAGUUGAGGUAGGCGGAAUGUGUUGUGUAGCGGUGAAAUGCAUAGAUAUCGGAAGGAACACCAGUGGCGAAGGCGACUUCCUGGGCCAAUACUGACGCUGAGGUGCGAAAGCGUGGGGAGCAAACAGGAUUAGAUA